AGAUGUCCUGAAUUGUGUAAAAAAGCAGGCUGAGCAAGUCAUGAGGAAACCGCCUGUAAGCAGCACUCCUCCAGGGUCUCUGCUUCAGCUCCUGCCUGCCUUCCCUUGAUGAAGGACUGUGCUGUGCAGCUGACCCUCUGCAGAUGUCAUGGAAAAACUCACCUGUAGACGUGAAUGUGAAGCAACUCGACGGAUCUUCCAGGUCCCCUGCAUGCAGUGUGACUGGCUCUCUGGAAACAAGAACAGUGUGCAGAUUUAUUCUGCCAAUCUAACUGGACUGACAAACACCUAGAUAGAGAAGCUAAUGUAAAUGCCAAUGCAAACAUGUCCUUUCUUCGGCACAGCACUAAGAUACAGGGACCAAGACAAGCCAAUCCAGAUGAUAUGAUAGUAUACAUAAGUGACUCCAAAACUCUACCUGGGAGCUUCUACAACUGAUAAACCCAUUCAGUAAUGUGGCAGGAUUAACUAAAAAAAAAAUCCUUAGGCCUCCUAUAUACAACAAUAAAUGGGCCGAGAAAGAAAUCAGAGAAACAUCACUCUUUACAAUAGCCACAGAUAUGAAAUAUCUUUGGGUAACUCAAACCAAACAAAUGAAAGACCUGUAUGGCAAGAAUUUUAAGUUUCUAAAGAAAGAAAUUGAAGAAGACAUCAGAAAAUGGAAAGAUCUCCCAUGCUCUUGGAUAGGUAGAAGCAACAUAAUAAAAAGAGAAAUCUUACCAAAAGCAAUCUACAGAUUUAGUGCAAUCCCCAUCAAACUCCCAACACAAUUCUUCAUAGACCUUGAAAGCACAUUACUCAGCUUCACAUGGAAAAACAAAAACCCAGAAUAAACAAUCCUGUACAAUAAAGGAACUUCCAGAGGCUUCACCAUCCUUGACCUUAAGCACUACUAUAGAGCUACAGUAAUAAAAAUAACUUGGUAUUGGCAUAAAAACAGACACACAGAUCAAUGGAAUCAAAUUGAAGACCAUGCCAUUAAUUCGUGCACAUGUGGCCACCUGAUUUUUGACAAAGAAACCAAAAAGGUAUAAUGGGAAGAAAAACAUCUUUAACAUGGUGCUGACAUAACUGGAUAUCAAUAUGUAGAAGAUUGCAAAUAGACCCAUACCUAUCCCCAUGCACAAAACUCAAGUCCGAAUGGAUCAAAGACCUCAACAUAAAACCAGCUAUAUUGAACCUGAUAGAAAAGAAAGUGGGUAGCCUUGAAUGCACUGGCACAGGAGACCAUUCCCCAGUAGCACACACACUGAGAGCAACAUUCAAUAAAUGGGACCUCCUGAAACUGAGAAGUUUCUGUAAGGCAAGGAGAUGGUAAACAAGACAAAAUGGCAGCCUACAGAAUGGAAAAAGAUCUUCACCAACCCCACAUCCCACAGAGGGCUGAUCUCCAAAAGAUACAAAGAAUUCAAGAAACUACAACAAAAUAUCAAAUAAUCUUAUUUUAAAAUGGGGUGGAGAGCUAAACAGAAAAGUCUCAAUAGAAGAAAUUCAAUUGUCCAAAAGACAUUUAAGGAAUUGCUCAACAUCCUUAAUCAUCAGGGAAAUCCAAAUCAAAACAACUCUGAGAUACCAUCUUACACCUCUCAGAAAGGCUAAGAGAAAAAUACUGAGGAUAGCUUAUGCUGGAGAGGAUAUGGAGUAAGGGGAACACUCCUGCACUGCUGGUGGGAGUGCAAUCUUGUACAGCCAUCCUGGAAAUCAGUAUGGCAGUGUCUCAGAAAAUUGAGAACCAAUCUACCUCAAGACCCAGUGGUAUGACUCUUAGGCAUAUAACAAAAAGAUACUCGAUCAUACCACAAGGACACUUGCUCAACAAUAUUCAUGGCAGCAUUAUCCAUAAUAGCCAGAACCUUGAAACAACCUAGAUGCUGUCAUCUGAAGAAUAGAGAGAGAAAAUGUGCUACAUUUACACAAUGUGGUAUUACUCAGCUGUAAAAAAAAAAAAAAAA